rnacentral:rRNA from 1 species
AACAAACGCUGGCGGCGUGUCUUAAGCAUGCAAGUUGAGCGGCAAGGAGGAGAGAUCCUCCCUAGAGCGGCGGACUGGUGAGUAACGCGUGGGUAAUCUAUCGUAGGCAUGGGGAUAGUCACUAGAAAUAGUGGGUAAUACCGAAUACGUUCCAUGAGGGGAGUAUUCAUGGAAGAAAGGGUGCUACGGCACUGGCCUUAGGUGAGCUCGCGUCCCAUUAGCUAGUUGGUGAGGUAAAGGCCCACCAAGGCGAUGAUGGGUAGCCGGCCUGAGAGGGUGUACGGCCACACUGGGACUGAGAUACGGCCCAGACUCCUACGGGAGGCAGCAGCUAAGAAUAUUCCGCAAUGGACGAAAGUCUGACGGAGCGACGCCGCGUGGAUGAAGAAGGCCGAAAGGUUGUAAAGUUCUUUUGCUAGGGGAGAAUAAGUGAGGAGGGAAUGCCUCAUGAUGACAAGGACUAGCGAAUAAGCCCGGCCAACUACGUGCCAGC